CAGUAUUGUAUAAAUAAGUUAGGUUUUUUUCCCAACAAUUCGAUCUAUUAUAAAGCUUAUUCAUAUACUUAUUAUGCAUUAGUUUAUGUAUCGCCUUCCUACACUGAACAAAGGGGUGGAACAGGUGUAGGAAUUCCAACAACUCCUGAAACUAUAUUCUCUGUUCUCCCAUGGGAGCUCGGACCAGAAUUCCACCAGCAACCUCUCGUUGACGAAGCAUGUAGGAGCUGGACGUUUUUCUGUAAAGACCCUCCCAAAAAUAAUUACCCUACAAUGGGUGAGACUUCAUUGUACUGGAAAAAAAAAGAAAUCCCAUUUGAUAAGGAUUGAUACAUAUGAAGUUUUUCAUGCCAUAUAUUCCCUCAUUGCCAGUGUAAUCUCAAAACCUCGAGGGAAACAGGGUGAUUCAGAGCUUAUCUAUACUCCCACAUGGGU